rnacentral:rRNA from 1 species
CCUACGGGUGGCAGCAGUGGGGAAUAUUGGGCAAUGGAGGCAACCCUUACCCAGCAAUGCAGCGUGAAUGAAGACGGUCCUCGGAUUGUAAAGCUCUUUAAUUGGGGACGUAAAAAAUGACGGUACCCAAGGUAUAAGUCCCGGUUAACUACGUGGCAGCAGCCGCGGUAAUACGUAGGGGGCAGGGGUUGGUCGGAAUGACUGGGCGUAAAGGGUGUGUUGGCGGGGUAGCAAGUUAGAGGUGGAAUACCUAGGGCUUAACUCAGGUGCUGCUGCUGAAACUGCUAUACUUGAGUGCAGUAGAGGAAAGUGGAAUUCCUAGUGUAGCGGUGGAAUGCGUAGAUAUUAGGAAGAACAUCAGUGGCGAAGGCGACUUUCUGGACUGUAACUGACGCUGAGGCACGAAAGUGUGGGGAGCAAACAGGAUUAGAUACCCUGGUAGUC